AUACCCGCUCCGCGAGUGGUGGGGACUUUUACUGGGCUUAAAGCGCCCGUAGCCGGCUGGGUGUGUCCUCCGUUAAAUCCACAGGCCUAACCUGUGGGCUGCGGGGGAUACUACCCGGCUUGGGGGUGGGAGAGGGCGGCGGUAUUCCCGGGGUAGGGGUAAAAUCCACUGAUCCCGGGAGGACCACCAGUGGCGAAGGCGGCCGCCCAGAACACGCCCGACGGUGAGGGGCGAAAGCUGGGGGAGCAAACGGGAUUAGAAACCCUAGUAGUCC
rnacentral:rRNA from 1 species